rnacentral:rRNA from 1 species
AUACGUAGGUGACAAGCGUUAUCCGGAUUUACUGGGCGUAAAGGGCGUGUAGGCGGUCUUGCAAGUCAGAAGUGAAAUUCCUGAGCUCAACUCGGGCGCUGCUUCUGAAACUGCAGGACUUGAGUGCUGGAGGGGAUAGCGGAAUUCCUAGUGGAGCGGUAAAAUGCGCAGAUAUUAGGAAGAACACCGGUGGCGAAGGCGGCUAUCUGGACAGAAACUGACGCUGAGGCGCGAAAGCGUGGGGAGCAAACAGGAUUAGAUCCCCUGGUAGUCCACGCCGUAAACGAUGAAUACUAGGUGUAGGGGGUAUCGACCCCUGCAGUGCCGGAGUAAACACAAUAAGCAUUCCGCCUGGGGAGUACGGCCGCAAGGUUGAAACUCAAAUGAAUUGACGGGG